UGACGCCUGAUGGGUGGGGUUGGCAGUACUGGAAUGUGGUGCUGAGAAGAAUAGCGGCAAGUGGGAGAUGGCAGACUUCACACCUACAGGAUUCAAAAAGGUAUAGCAUUGGAAAACAGGAUCUGGUUCAAGAGGAAUGAUGUGGCAUCAGCAGCCCAUGGAGGGGAGAUUUUUCUUAGGAGGCUGUCUUUAAUUAGCAAAACAGAUUAGUGCUUCAGCGACUUUCACUGGGGACAAACGGAAUUCUCUCUAGAUGUGGGACGCUCCCUUUGCAGCAAUCUGAACUCAAAAGCUGCUACUUGUAUAUUUUGGAAGCAGGAAAACAGAAGACUGGUGACUGCUAUAGUUAUGUUUAGCAAAAGUUAUUGACAGGCGCAAGAUUCAGAUACGAAAUUUGAAUGCCCUGGCCUAAGCUUUUGGAUCUGAGAGGUGCCAGCAGUGGGUAUGGAUUCUGAACCCACCUAAAUUUGGGAGAAUAUUUGGGUCUAAGUUUUGAUUUAAGCACAUCCAUAGCUGCUGCAGUAUUGUAUUGCUACCAGCAUCCAUCCCCCUUCUCUGUGACACUAGCCCUGAACUGUUUGCUUGGGUGACUCGUAUAAAUCUACAUUUUAACUGGGAAGCGAAUGACACUGAGGGGGAAGAGUGCAUGCGUGUGUAAAGUUCAGCUCUGUGGAUUAAUCUGCUAGGGAGCUGAUGCACUAACAGCGUGAAAUUUACCAGGCUAAUAAUAUAACUUUUAAGGUGUUCUGGCAAGCCUAGAAAAUAGUCACCCUGUUGAACUGAUGCCACCUGGUGGAGACAACUGGAGAUUAAGAUUUAUAGCAGCUUUUAAACCAGUGUUUCUCAAACUUCCUUAACCCAAGCUCCUCUUCUAGGUAUGAAAACAUCAUGUAGUUGUGUGCCAUUGCCUAGUUCUGUGCUGUGGAGAGGUUGAAUUUUCCUCCUGACCCUCAGAUGGUUAUUCACUUGUGCUGUGGAUGGUUGCUUCUAGUCCAAGCUGUUUUGUCUUAGCUACGAGUUCACAGCCAUUGUGGAUGCUGCUGCUUAAGGAAGUACCGAUCCUGAGCGUAUUUCUUCAAGGAAAGCUGUUGCUAACCCAGACUGGCUAACACUGGGAUGUCCAUCUCAAAAGGAGGUAGAAUUCAGAAGCACUGAUUCCAAGCAUGAAAUUAAAAUAGAGCCAUUCUCCAGUAUCCCUCUUCACCAGCUGCCAGCCAGAAAUUUGGAAUAUCACAGCCUCAGGCAGCCAGGGGAGGCCACAAAUAGUAUAGGUCUCAGGGUCCUGUCGUUAUCCAGGUUUGAUAGAGAUAGGUUAUAGACAUAUUUAGUUUAUUUAUAUCUAUAUGAUGAGAAAUGUUUUGCAUUUUGUCUAGAGUAACCUCGGCUCGGGAAGGCAAGUCCAGUGAGAGAAAUCUCAAACUUUUUAUUUCCCAAAUAUAGGUAGAUCUGUCCCGUCAGUGCCUGUAUGCUCUUGAAAAAUUACCUUUCAGUUUCUUUUAUCAUCCUUUGUGUACAGCAUGCCGGCUCUGCUUAACAUGUGAGCAAAGAAAGAGCUAUCUUGUGUGCUUCAGACAGUUCAUAGCUGGGGUGAAAGUGGGAACUCAACCCAAAACCUCUUGAGAGGAAGAGGAGUUUUUCCUUCGGUAUUGUACAAUGUGAGCAUGAUCCUGUUGUUCAGAUUUUCUUUUCUUUUCCUUUUAGAGGGAAGGGUGGGUAUCCUACGGGGGAGGAGGCCCUCCUCAGUUCUAGGGAUGGUUAUUACUUUUUAUAUGGUAGCACCUAGAAGCCCUCCCCCAGAAUCAGGUCCCCAUAGUGCUAGGCACACUAAAAACACACUGGAGAAGGACCCUGCUUCAAAGAGCUCUGUGGAACAAUGUGCAAGGAUCUCUUGGCGCCGAUGGACCAUCAUGAGCAAAGUCCAUGCUUGAUCUUAAUUAUUGUUCUCAUCACCUACUGGUGAAAAUGUUAAUAAAGAAUGUUAGUUGAUUGUAGAAGCUGUGACAGCCAAGCCCUCUAGCAGGGUAGGUUCUCUGAGCGCAGAACAGGUUUCAGUUACAAGCUGAGCAAACAGCUGCAUGGGAGAGAGCAUGACCUCAAAGUGCUGCAGGCAGAGCCCCUUCUAGCAUUGCAAGGAGGGAGUUGAUUCACAAUUUCCUUUCCUGUGUUUGCUUUAUUUGACAGACAAUUAUCAUUCCAGAGGUAAUUGCUGGAAGAGCCCUAUGGGACUCAUAAAUCUCUAAUGCUGAAGGUUUUUCAAGUGAAUAAAAAAGACACAGCGAAGUUUUAUUUAUUUUACUUUAUUUUGCCGUAGUGCCCAGGAUCUCCAGAUCUAGAUCAGGGUCCUGUUAUGCUUGGUGCUGCAUGAACACAAAGACAAGGUACUUGCCCUAAAGAACUUGCAAUCUAAGAGGUUCUGAACUGGUAAAAAAAUAAGUUAUCACAGCAAUUCUCAACCAGGGAUCCAGGGAAGGGCGGGGCUGCGAGCACAUUUCAGGGGGUCCACCAAGCAGGGCUGGCAUAGACUUACUGAGGCCCAGGGAAGAAAGCUGAAGCCCGGGGCCCUGAGCCCUGAGAUCUGAGGCUGAAGCUGAAGCCUGAGCAACUGACUUUUGUGGA